rnacentral:rRNA from 1 species
UACGUAGGGACCGAGCGUUGUCCGGAAUCAUUGGGCGUAAAGAGCGUGUAGGCGGCUAUUUAAGUCCUGCGUGAAAUCCUGCGGCUCAACCGCAGACGGUCGUGGGAAACUGGAUGGCUAGAGUGCGGGAGAGGAGAGUGGAAUUCCCGGUGUAGCGGUGAAAUGCGCAGAUAGUCGGGAAGAACACCCGUGGCGAAGGCGGCUCUCUGGAACGCAACUGACGCUGAGACGCGAAAGCGUGGGGAGCAAACAGG